rnacentral:rRNA from 1 species
AGGCCACUGCUAUCGGAGUUCGAUUAAGCCAUGCGAGUCGAGAGGUGCAAGACCUCGGCAUACUGCUCAGUAACACGUGGACAACCUAACCUAUGGAGGGGGAUAACCCCGGGAAACUGGGGAUAAUACCCCAUAGACUAUGGAUGCUGGAAUGCUCUGUAGUUGAAAGGUCCGCCGCCAUAGGAUGGGUCUGCGGCCGAUUAGGUUGUUGUUGGGGUAACGGCCCAACAAGCCUGUAAUCGGUACGGGUUGUGGGAGCAAGAGCCCGGAGAUGGAUUCUGAGACACGAAUCCAGGCCCUACGGGGCGCAGCGGGCGCGAAAACUUUACAAUGCGGGAAACCGUGAUAAGGGAACUCUGAGUGCCCGUAAAAUCGGGCUGUCCAUCUGUUUAAAUAACAGGUGAAGAAAGGGCCGGGCAAGACCGGUGCCAGCCGCCGCGGUAAUACCGGCGGCUCGAGUGGUGGCCACUAUUACUGGGCUUAAAGCGUUCGUAGCUGGUUUGUUAAGUCUCUGGGGAAAUCUUCCGGCUUAACCGGAAGGCGUCUCAGGGAUACUGGCAGACUAGGGACCGGGAGAGGUGAGAGGUACUCCAGGGGUAGGAGUGAAAUCCUGUAAUCCUUGGGGGACCACCUGUGGCGAAGGCGUCUCACCAGAACGGCUCCGACAGUGAGGGACGAAAGCUGGGGGAGCAAACCGGAUUAGAUACCCGGGUAGUCCCAGCUGUAAACGAUGCGCGUUAGGUGUAUCGGUGACCACGAGUCAUCGAGGUGCCGAAGAGAAAUCGUGAAACGUGCCGCCUGGGAAGUACGGUCGCAAGGCUGAAACUUAAAGGAAU